AGCGAACGCUGGCGGCAGGCCUAACACAUGCAAGUCGAGCGCCCCGCAAGGGGGAGCGGCAGACGGGUGAGUAACACGUGGGAACGUACCCUUCGGUUCGGAACAACCCAGGGAAACUUGGGCUAAUACCGAAUACGUCCGUAAGGAGAAAGAUUUAUCGCCGAAGGAUCGGCCCGCGUCUGAUUAGCUAGUUGGUGAGGUAAUGGCCCACCAAGGCUACGAUCAGUAGCUGGUCUGAGAGGAUGAUCAGCCACACUGGGACUGAGACACGGCCAGACUCCUACGGGAGGCAGCAGUGGGGAAUAGUUGGACAAUGGGCGCAAGCCUGAUCCAGCCAUGCCGCGUGAGUGAUGAAGGCCC
rnacentral:rRNA from 1 species